ensembl:processed_transcript
UUUCAGUCUCUGAUGUUUCUGAUCCGGGACUGGAGUUACCCGUAUGAGCAUCCUUACGGUCUGGAGGGAGGAAACCAGUUCCUGGAGAAGCGUCUGCAGGUAACGCAGAAUCAGCACGAGGAGCUGCAGAGCGUCAGGAAACACAUCCACUCCUGCUUCUCCAGCAUCAGCUGCUUCCUGCUGCCGCACCCGGGGCUCAGAGUGGCCACUAACCCACGCUUCGAUGGACGCUUACGGGCCCUGCAUGAGUUAUAUUUUCAGGAAUUGUGUGUGUUUGUGUGUUUGUGUGUUUGUGUGUGUUUGUGUGUUUUAAUUUUAAUUAUGUUCCAGAUGAUUGUCAGGGUUCUGCCACUCUGGUCUUGUAAAUUCUUGUUUUGGUGGCAGAGCUCAGACACUACCCAUGUGUUGUCCUGUUUCUGUCUCUGUGUGCGCGCGCAAACACUGAUAUAUAUAUAUAUAUGUAUGUGUGUGUGUGUGUGUGUGUGUGUGCAGGUGUGUGGCGGCGAGCGUCCCUACAUGUCUCCGUCUGCUCUGGAUCUCCGCCAUGGUGAGCUGAAGCAGGUGUGUGUGUGUCAGUUCCGCUCCGUCAAGAAGAUGGGUGGAGAAGAGUUCAGCCGACGCUACCAGGAGCAGCUGGAGCAGGAGCUGGAGGAGUGCUACGCUAGCUUUAGCAAACACAACCAGGGCAAGAACAUCUUUCUAGCGGCGCGUACGCCGGCGGCGCUGCUCGCCCUGAUGCUGCUGCUGUACGCGUCGGCGCUGAUAGCGGGCUGUGUGGGCAUCAGUACACUAGCGGUGCUCUGUGACCUGCUGCUAGCCGCCGCGCUGCUCUCGCUCUGCGUCUGGACCUACAGCAGAUACUCCGGAGAGUUCCGCGAGAUCGGCGCCGCCAUCGACCGUCUGGCCGAGACACUCUGGGAGCAGAGGACGCCCAGGAAGGUCCUCUCCAAGCUGAUGGAGGUGUUGCGGAGCCGGCUGCGGCUGAAGCCCACCCCCAGACAGAGACUGCCCUCCAAUAACAACCUCAAGAAGAGGAAGUAG